UGGGGAAUUUUGGACAAUGGGCGCAAGCCUGAUCCAGCCAUGCCGCGUGCGGGAAGAAGGCCUUCGGGUUGUAAACCGCUUUUGUCAGGGAAGAAAUCUUCUGAGUUAAUACCUCGGGAGGAUGACGGUACCUGAAGAAUAAGCACCGGCUAACUACGUGCCAGCAGCCGCGGUAAUACGUAGGGUGCAAGCGUUAAUCGGAAUUACUGGGCGUAAAGCGUGCGCAGGCGGUUUUGUAAGACAGAGGUGAAAUCCCCGGGCUCAACCUGGGAACUGCCUUUGUGACUGCAAGGCUUGAGUGCGGCAGAGGGGGAUGGAAUUCCGCGUGUAGCAGUGAAAUGCGUAGAUAUGCGGAGGAACACCGAUGGCGAAGGCAAUCCCCUGGGCCUGCACUGACGCUCACGCACGAAAGCGUGGGGAGCAAACAGGAUUAGAUACCCCUGGUAGUCCACGCCCUAAACGAUGUCAACUGGUUGUUGGGAAGGUUCCUUCUCAGUAACGUAGCUAACGCGUGAAGUUGACCGCCUGGGGAGUACGGCCGCAAGGUUGAAACUUAAAGGAAUUGACGGGGUCA
rnacentral:rRNA from 1 species